GACGAACGCUGGCGGCGUGGCUAAUACAUGCAAGUUGAGCGAUGAAGAUUGGUGCUUGCACCAAUUUGAAGAGCAGCGAACGGGUGAGUAACGCGUGGGGAAUCUGCCUUUGAGCGGGGGACAACAUUUGGAAACGAAUGCUAAUACCGCAUAACAACUUUAAACAUAAGUUUUAAGUUUGAAAGAUGCAAUUGCAUCACUCAAAGAUGAUCCCGCGUUGUAUUAGCUAGUUGGUGAGGUAAAGGCUCACCAAGGCGAUGAUACAUAGCCGACCUGAGAGGGUGAUCGGCCACAUUGGGAAUGAGACACGGCCCAAACUCCUACGGGAGGCAGCAGUAGGGAAUCUUCGGCAAUGGACGAAAGUCUGACCGAGCAACGCCGCGUGAGGGAAGAAGGUUUUCGGAUCGUAAAACUCUGUUGGUAGAGAAGAACGUUGGUGAGAGUGGAAAGCUCAUCAAGUGACGGUAACUACACAGAAAGGGACGGCUAACUACGUG
rnacentral:rRNA from 1 species